rnacentral:rRNA from 1 species
UACGUAGGGCGCAAGCGUUGUCCGGAAUUAUUGGGCGUAAAGAGCUCGUAGGCGGCUUGUCACGUCGGAUGUGAAAGCCCGGGGCUUAACUCCGGGUCUGCAUUCGAUACGGGCUGGCUAGAGUGUGGUAGGGGAGAUCGGAAUUCCUGGUGUAGCGGUGAAAUGCGCAGAUAUCAGGAGGAACACCGGUGGCGAAGGCGGAUCUCUGGGCCAUUACUGACACUGAGGCGCGAAAGCGUGGGGAGCAAACCGG